rnacentral:rRNA from 1 species
UUGGUCCUACGGGACGCAGCAGUAGGGAAUAUUGGGCAAUGGGCGCAAGCCUGACCCAACAACGCCGCGUGAAGGAAGAAGGCUUUCGGGUUGUAAACUUCUUUUGUCAGGGACGAAGCAAGUGACGGUACCUGACGAAUAAGCCACGGCUAACUACGUGCCAGCAGCCGCGGUAAUACGUAGGUGGCAAGCGUUAUCCGGAUUUAUUGGGUGUAAAGGGCGUGUAGGCGGGAAUGCAAGUCAGAUGUGAAAACUAUGGGCUCAACCCAUAGCCUGCAUUUGAGACUGUAUUUCUUGAGUGCUGG